UGCUGGUGUGGCGGAAUAGGCAGACGCAAAGGACUUAAAAUCCUUCGGGAGCAAUCCCGUGCCGGUUCAAGUCCGGCCACCAGCAU
rnacentral:tRNA from 2 species